AUAAAAAAAAAUUUGCACCGCCCUAAGGCCACUGGAUUUUAAAAAUCGGUGGGGAAAAUAUGGGGUAAAAUAGGUGGGAUUUUGAGGGGAGGUUUUUGCCACCGGUUCAAACUAAACCGGUGGCAAAAAACAUUAUUUUCACCGGUUUGAACCGGUGGCUUUUCCUUUUAAAAAAAAAACGCCCCUUAUAAAAACCCAAACCCUACUCUCAAAUCACUCAACCUCCCUCAUUCUCUCUCCCCUCUCCUCUCUCUCCUGAUCUCAUCUCAUCUCCUCUCCUCUCCAGAUCUCAUCUCCUCUCCAAUCUCAUCUCCUCUUUCCUGCUCUCUCAUCUCACCACCACCGCUGCCGUCCCUCUUCUUAUCUUUCCUGCUCUCUCUUCUCACCACCACCGCCGCCGUCGACUUCUUUCCCCUCUCAAUCUCUCCGACCUCCCUUUCUCCCUCUUCUCUCCCCUCUAUCCCUCUUCUUUCCCCUCUCGAUCUCUCUGACCUCCCUCAUCUGUCUUCUGCACACCACCACCAGCGCCACUAACCACCGUCGCCACCAAGUCCGAAAUCAACCACAACUUGUAAAAUUCGAGGUUAUUUUCAGGUAAAAUUCGAGGUAUAAUGAUUUAUAUCUUAAAUUGAAGAAUCAAGAUGCAGGAAUAUUGAUAUAGCUGUUAUAUGGGUUUUUUUUAUUUUAAUGUUGUAACUUUUAUUUUUUGAUUUAUAUUUUUAUUUUUUUUAUUUGUAUGUUGUAAUUGUUAGAUUAUAUUGAUUUAUAUUGUAAUUUUGAUGUCCGUAAUUGUGAUCUAUAUCGAGCAAUUAGUAGAUUAGAAAACUGUUCAGUAAUAAAAUUAUGAUGUUGCGUU